rnacentral:lncRNA from 1 species
UUUUUUCAUCACAUAAUUUUGAAGUAAGUAUUAUUCUGCACAGUUUGUAAAAAUCCCAAAGUCAUUAUCAUAUUACAACAGGGAGUAAAUUGAUAAUGAACUUGUGUAAAUAAAAGCACAUGGUAAUUAAGCUAAAUAUAUAGGCAUUUGGGAGGGGCUAAUAUGUCAAUCAUCUGUUGAUACCAGUGUCCAGCUGUUAAUCCCUGACCACAAGAUAAGUCUUAUCUCAUUGUUUUGCAACAAAAAUUAUUUAUAUAACAUGGAAGUGAACAGAGAAAAAGAAAAAAUCUAAGGAGAAAAAAUAU